CGGGGAAAGGCCAGGACCGCGGCGAAGCCCCACGGGGGCAGCUGGACCCCACACCCCGCCCCGAGCGGAGCGGAGGCUGCUGGGGAGGGGGCUGCGAGGGUCAAAGACGGGGCCAAGUGCCCGCAGCCAGAAGCUCACCACUCCGGGCCUGCCACCGCGCCUGCCGGAAGCGGUCGGCCGGGCUCUGUUCAAAAAUAGAAAAGGAACUUCAGUAUCCGCGUAACUGAGUGGAGCGGUGCGGAAAGAGAAGAGGAAUUAACGAACCUGCCUGAGCAGAAAGUCCCAGAGCCUACAGAUCUUCCCUUCCUUCGGAAGGAGUCACAAGCCCCUAAAGCUGGAGAAGGCAGCAGCUACUUAGCAGUGGGAGCCAGGCCUGAAGCUUCAGACGCAGAAACGCUGGACAAGCGGCUGCUGAGGUGCCUUUGGACAUAGGCCUAGGUUUUGAGCUCAGCUACUCUGCUUUCUAACCUCAGGCAAGUUAAUUAAAUUUUAGGUGCCUACCUUUCCUUGCUCAAAUUAUAGAGCCAACCCCUUCCCGGAUUACAGAAGGGAUUAAGGAGAUAACACAGAUAAAAACGCUUGGCUCCUCGUGGGUACUCCAGGAAAGGUGCAGGGAGCCCCAGGGUGGCUUGACCUGAUUUUUCUACGCAGCAGGCAGGGUGGGGCAAUAGGAGGGGAGGCCUACAAACUAUAGGGGCCCCGCCCUCCAGACCUAAUUCCCAGACCCCAUUUCCUGGGGAAAGUUGAGUGAAGCCCUCCUCACCAGGAAGGAGGUUUCCUUCCUCAGUGCUUAGAAGGGGGGCUACUGUGCAUUAACUGCUCUGCCUGCCUCUCCUCCAAUCAAGGAGCAGAUAAGUGAGUGCCCACUUUCACAGGCGCCCAACUGUCCAUGGGGCAGGCAGAUGGGUGGGGAAAGAGCUGGUACUGACCCUGCUGGGCUGGGUGGAGACCCGAGGGAGGGAACUCUCAGUGAAGACUCACCUAGCCCUAGAGCCCUCCCUGUCCUCCAGGUGCCAGGCAGGGGUGAGGUCGUUGCAGAGCAGGCCUCAUCUCUCCCCCCACACCCCUGUGCACGUGUGCACAAGCACACGGUAUCACUCUGUCAGGCUGGGUCUCAGGCUGAGACCCUGGGUCCACACAGUCAACAGUAGUGUUGCGUGUCUAGACAUUUACUCCCACGAGAGGUCUUGGUUACAAACCGGCUGCUGUCCCAGACCUCACCCUCAUAUUUGCCUCCAGUCCAGGCAAACACAGGGUGGCAAGCAUUCACCCACCUGUUCCCAGGUGGCCACAUGGCCAUCUGCUGAUGGCACACAAACUGCUGGCAGAUGCCACAGGUUCAUAGGAAAAUGUUUAAGGGGUACUGGUGAGUUCUUUCCCAGUUCACCUGCCAUCAAGGGAAAGGCAGCUCCAGCAUGCUGGCACAUUCUGUUCAGGAGCCCAGGCCUGCGAGUUCACAGACACCCAGGUAUAUACUCUUGAACAUACUUCAUAUCCAUGGGUUUUGACUUCUUUCCCUUUUGUAUCUCAGGCUAGAAACUGGGCUCUUUCUGGUCAGCACCAGAGCGGCAUGGUUACUGAAUUGGGGUGGAUUUUGUUGAAGGGUGGACAGGAGGAGUGGGUGAAGACAGUAUAUGAACCCCUUAGAAGUCCUAAUUCUGCAUUUUUAACUACUGUCCUAGGGUGGAGUGAGGUGCUGUCCUUCCGUGGCCGCAGGGCCUUGGCCAUCGAAGGCUCCUACAACUGCUUUACCGGGCUGGUGACACCAGUCAGUCUAGACCCAGUGGGAGAAGCUCCUCGGCCUGGCGGGCCAUCUGGGAGGAAAACGCAGCCUGCGCCCAAGUGCUCGGCGGCGACGGGUCCGCAACAGCCGCCACCCUGCUCGGGCCGGG